GAUGAACGCUAGCGGCAGGCUUAAUACAUGCAAGUCGAGGGGCAGCACAGGUAGCAAUACUGGGUGGCGACCGGCAAACGGGUGCGGAACACGUACACAACUUACCUUAGAGUGGGGGAUAGCCCAGGGAAACUUGGAUUAAUACCCCAUAAAACAGGGGGCCCGCAUGGGCAUAUUGUUAAAGAUUUAUCGCUUUAAGAUGGGUGUGCGUAUGAUUAGGUAGUUGGUAGGGUAAAGGCCUACCAAGCCGACGAUCAUUAACUGGUGUGAGAGCACGACCAGUCACACGGGCACUGAGACACGGGCCCGACUCCUACGGGAGGCAGCAGUAAGGAAUAUUGGUCAAUGGACGGAAGUCUGAACCAGCCAUGCCGCGUGAAGGAUGAAGGUCCUCUGGAUUGUAAACUUCUUUUAUAGGGGGCGAAAAAGGGCCUUUUUAGGUCAACUGACGGUACCCUAUGAAUAAGCACCGGCUAACUCCGUGCCAGCCGCCGCAGUAA
rnacentral:rRNA from 1 species